rnacentral:piRNA from 1 species
GUUGUCAAGAUGGUUGAAGUGGUAGUU